rnacentral:misc_RNA from 1 species
GAAGCUGGUAGAUUCAUGUAAUAAAGAUGGGUUAAGUUUAUGUUUGUUGGAUUUUAAUCUUAUCCCUAGGCGGGAUUAUGAAGUGAAGAAUUGGUUUACGGAUUAGUUGUUAUUUUGGAAGCACUUGUCUUACUUUAGAGCUGGAAAACUAGGAUUUUAUUGACCAUUCCCUUUUAUGCUAUUUUAAAAAAAAUAAUAAUAACAAUA